rnacentral:rRNA from 1 species
GAUGAACGCUAGCUACAGGCUUAACACAUGCAAGUCGAGGGGCAGCAUGAAGUCAGCUUGCUGACUUUGAUGGCGACCGGCGCACGGGUGCGUAACGCGUAUCCAACCUUCCCGUUACUCAGGGAUAGCCUUCCGAAAGGGAGAUUAAUACCUGAUGGUAUCAGAAUUUCGCAUGUUAUUCUGAUUAAAGAUUUAUCGGUAACGGAUGGGGAUGCGUGACAUUAGGUAGAUGGCGGGGUAACGCCCACCAUGCCUACGAUGUCUAGGGGGUUCCUGAGAGGAAGGUCCCCCCANACUGGAACUGAGACACGGACCAGACUCCUACGGGAGGCAGCAGUGAGGAAUAUUGGGUCAAUGGACGAGUCUGACCAGCCAAGUCGCGUGAAGGAAGACGGUUCUAUGAAUUGUAAACUUCUUUUGUCGGGGAUAAAGUCAGCUACGUGUAGCUGUUUGCAAGUACCCGAAGAAAAGCAUCGGCUAACUCCGUGCCAGCAG